UUAGUAUGGGAAAGAUUGAGGUUAUCGAGUGGAUUCACAUAACCGUGACGUCGUCCAGAGCCGUUGAAAUAGUACUUUAGAAAAACAUAGGUCAUGUGAAAGGUAAUCUGAAAAGAGGGCUUCGUAUUAUGCGACGACGACCGUCUUCCACUCAAAUUGUUACUUCGUUUAGCCAUGAUUGGCACUGAUCACUUAUUUAUGAGUAUAAAACACGCGAGAAUGUCUUCAAACGGCGCAUCCCAGAAAUUGUCAGCGAACCACCACCUUCGUGACUAAAAUCCACGAGAGAAAA
rnacentral:lncRNA from 1 species